rnacentral:rRNA from 1 species
UACGUAGGGGGCAAGCGUUGUCCGGAAUUAUUGGGCGUAAAGCGCGCGCAGGCGGUCAAGUAAGUCUGGUGUAUAAACCUGAGGCCCAACCUCGGGACGCAUUGGAAACUGGUUUGACUGGAGUGUAGGAGAGGGAAGUGGAAUUCCACGUGUAGCGGUGAAAUGCGUAGAGAUGUGGAGGAACACCAGUGGCGAAGGCGACUUUCUGGCCUA